UUGGGUUUAAAGGGAGCGCAGGCUGCACUUUAAGCGUGUUGUGAAAUGUACCGGCUCAACCGGUAACGUGCAGCGCGAACUGGGGUGCUUGAGUACGAAGAGGGAAAGCGGAACUCGUGGUGUAGCGGUGAAAUGCUUAGAUAUCACGAGGAGCUCCGAUCGCGAAGGCAGCUUUCCGUUUCGGAACUGACGCUGAGGCUCGAAAGUGCGGGUAUCGAACAGGAUUAGAUACCCUGGUAGUCCGCACGGUAAACGAUGGAUGCUCGCUGUUGGAUAUUUUUAUUCAGUGGCUAAGUGAAAACGUUAAGCAUCCCACCUGGGGAGUACGCCGGCAACGGUGAAACUCAAAGGAAUUGACGGGGGCCCGCACAAGCGGAGGAACAUGUGGUUUAAUUCGAUGAUACGCGAGGAACCUUACCCGGGCUUGAAUUGCAGCUGAACGAUCCAGAGAUGGUGAGGCCCUUCGGGGCAGCUGUGAAGGUGCUGCAUGGUUGUCGUCAGCUCGUGUCGUGAG
rnacentral:rRNA from 1 species